GAAGGGUCAUAGCUCAAUGGUAGAGCAUCUGCUUCACAUGCAGAAGGUCACAGGUUCAAUUCCUGUUAUCUUCA